CCUACGGGAGGCAGCAGUGGGGAAUAUUGCACAAUGGGGGCAACCCUGAUGCAGCGACGCCGCGUGAGUGAAGAAGGAUUUCGGUAUGUAAAGCUCUAUCAGCAGGGAAGAAAAUGACGGUACCUGAUUAAGAAACCCCAGCUAACUACGUGCCAGCAGCCGCGGGAAUACGUAGGGGGCAAGCGUUAUCCGGAUUUACUGGGUGUAAAGGGAGCGUAGACGGCAGCACAAGUCUGGAGUGAAAUGCCGGGGCUUAACCCCGGAACUGCGUUGGAAACUGUGCUGCUAGAGUGCAGGAGAGGUAAGUGGAAUUCCUAGUGUAGCGGUGAAAUGCGUAGAUAUUAGGAGGAACACCAGUGGCGAAGGCGGCUUACUGGACUGCAACUGACGGUGAGGCGCGAAAGCGUGGGGAGCAAACAGGAUUAGAUACCCCAGUAGUC
rnacentral:rRNA from 1 species